rnacentral:rRNA from 1 species
AUAUCCAGGAGCUUGCUCUUGGUGAAAGCGGCGCACGGGUGAGUAACGCGUGGAUAACGUACCUUAAGGUUGGGAAUAACCUGUCGAAAGGCGGGCUAAUACCGAAUAUGUUCAUUUGAAGCGCGCUUUGAAUGAGUAAAGCGGGGCAACUCGCGCCAUAAGAUCGGUCCGCGUCCUAUCAGCUAGUUGGUGGGGUAAUGGCCUACCAAGGCGAAGACGGGUAACUGGUCUGAGAGGACGACCAGUCACACUGGGACUGAGACACGGCCCAGACUCCUACGGGAGGCAGCAGUGGGGAAUAUUGGUCAAUGGGCGAAAGCCUGAACCAGCAAUGCCGCGUGGGUGAUGAAGGCCUUCGGGUUGUAAAGCCCUGUCAGUGGGAAAGAAAAAGCCGGUUAACACCCGGACUUGACGGUACCCACAAAGGAAGCACCGGCUAACUCUGUGCCAGCANCCGCGGUAAUACAGAGGGUGCAAGCGUUGUUCGGAAUUACUGGGCGUAAAGCGCGUGUAUGCGGCUUCUUAAGUCGGACG